rnacentral:rRNA from 1 species
GACAGAGGUGCCGAGCGUUAGGCGGAAUCACUGGGCUUAAAGCGUGUGUAGGCGGAUGCCUAAGUACCUUGUGAAAUCCCACGGCUCAACCGUGGAACGGCUGGGUAUACUGGGCGUCUUGAGCCAGCUAGGGGCGACCGGAACAAACGGUGGAGCGGUGAAAUGCGUAGAUAUCAUUUGGAACGCCAACGGUGAAAACAGACAGCUGGGAGUGUGCUGACGCUGAGACACGAAAGCCAGGGGAGCGAACGGG